rnacentral:rRNA from 1 species
UACGUAGGGACCAAGCGUUGUUCGGAUUUACUGGCGUAAAGGGCGCGUAGGCGGCGUGGUAAGUCACUUGUGAAAUUUCUGAGCUUAACUCAGAACGGUCAAGUGAUACUGCUGUGCUAGAGUGCAGAAGGGGCAAUCGGAAUUCUUGGUGUAGCGGUGAAAUGCGUAGAUAUCAAGAGGGAACACCUGAGGUGAAGACGGGUUGCUGGGCUGACACUGACGCUGAGGCGCGAAAGCCAGGGGAGCAAACGGG